CCCACAGGCCGUAAACCCAAGGUUUCCAGGGGAAGGUUCGUCCGCCCUGGGUUAGUCGGGACCUAAGCUGAGGCCGAAAGGCGUAGGUGAUGGACAACAGGUUGAUAUUCCUGUACUACCGAUAACCGUUUGAGAGAAGGGAUGACACAGUAGGAUAAGCUAAGCACACUGUUGGUUAUGUGUGCCCAAGCAUUGAGGCAGUCAAAGUAGGCAAAUACGCUUUGAUAAUGCUGGGAUGUGAUGGGGAGCGAAAUUUAGUAGCGAAGUAGCUGAUUUCACACUGUCAAGAAAAGUCUCUAUCGAGGUUAAAGGUACCCGUACCGCAAACCGACACAGGUGGGUGAGGAGAGUAUCCUAAGGCCAGCGAGAGAACUGUUGUUAAGGAACUCGGCAAAAUGACCCCGUAACUUAGGGAUAAGGGGUGCCACCAUCAGGUGGCCGCAGAGAAUAGGCCCAAGCGACUGUUUACCAAAAACAUAGGUUUCUGCUAAGUCGCAAGACGAUGUAUAGGAGCUGACGCCUGCCCGGUGCUGGAAGGUUAAGGGGAUCUGUUAGAGCAAUCGAAGCAGUGAACUUAGGCC
rnacentral:rRNA from 1 species